UUGAGCGUGAUUUUAUUCCUGAAGAGACAAGAUGGAGAGACUCAGCCACAACAUGCGCUUCGUCCAAUGCGAGCACAGAGAUCAGCAGUGAUACAGGUGUCCUCAGACUGACAGUGAUGCCUCAAGGGAGAAAUGGAGGAAAAAAAUGAUAAUUGGUUGCAUGCUGCAUGUGACAGCUACGUCCAGAGACAUAUCAUUUGGACACGUUGGAGAUGAUGGUAUGUG